rnacentral:ncRNA from 1 species
UAAGAUGCCCGCGCUCAAGGUGAUCGCCGACACAGUCGGGCGAUUGAAACGGGAAUCCGGUGGCGCGCGGCUCAUGCCGAACGCUCAAGCCGGAGCUGCCCCCGCAACGGUAGGCGAGUCAACGUAACGCUCUUGGCCACUGUGCUGAUGCACGGGAAGGCGCGUUACGGGAACCGCGAUCGGGUGUUCGCACCGAUCGCUUCCGCUCGCGAGCCCGGAGACCGGCCCGGAGCGCGAACCGACA